GUGAGGAAUAUUGGUCAAUGGGCGCAAGCCUGAACCAGCCAUGCCGCGUGCAGGAAGACGGUCCUAUGGAUUGUAAACUGCUUUUAUUUGGGAAUAAACUCCGGUACGUGUACCGGCCUGAAGGUACCAAAUGAAUAAGCACCGGCUAACUCCGUGCCAGCAGCCGCGGUAAUACGGAGGGUGCAAGCGUUAUCCGGAAUCAUUGGGUUUAAAGGGUCCGCAGGCGGUCUUAUAAGUCAGUGGUGAAAGCCUACAGCUCAACUGUAGAACUGCCAUGGAUACUGUAGGACUUGAAUUCGAUCGAAGUGGGCGGAAUGUGACAUGUAGCGGUGAAAUGCUUAGAUAUGUCACAGAACACCGAUAGCGAAGGCAGCUCACUAGGUCUGGAUUGACGCUCAGGGACGAAAGCGUGGGGAGCAAACAGGAUUAGAUACCCCGGUAGUCC
rnacentral:rRNA from 1 species